ensembl:lncRNA
GGAGAUUUACGAAGAGAGGAUUUCCGAAUGCACAAAGACGUUUGAAUCCUAUGAAGAAGGCUAUUUCCAAAAUCCUCUGGCUCAAAAGCUCCUCAAGCUGCAGACUGAAAACGGAGAAAUUGAUUGUAGAAUCAUGGAGGUUGACAAUCAAAUAACAAUGAAAGAAAAAGAGUUGGAUUAUCUCGCAAGUAUGAAAUUCCUUACGGCAGUGAUUUUACCCCUGGUAAGUCUUCAUAUUGUAAAGAAAUCUUUUGUCUGAGCAGGGCCGCCAGUGAACUCUGUUUCCUCUGAGAAGGAAGGAACAGAGAGGUAAAUCGGAAAAAUGACUAAGCAUAUGAAUAAUAAAACUUGUAUCUUGGCUCAAAUAUAUAUUUUCGGUUUUGUAUUUUCAGCCAGGAGCCAGAACAAGAAACAGCUCAGUCAAAAGAAGGCGGGAAUUCCUCUGUUGACAUUUCAUCUCUCUACAUUAAUCAGAAAACUAAUGGCCAGAUAACUCUUGAAGACUCAAAUGCUGAAAUGAUUGACCAGCAGAACAAGGCCCAGAAUUCCCCCAGAUGCCGUUCUUUUGAAGAGAUUCCUGAUGAUUCCCUUUGGUCCCGUGCACAGAUGGACGAUGUCCAUGCUACAUCAGAUUCCAUCAGAUAUACUUCUCCAAAGUCCAUCCAACCUUUGGAGAAUGACGGAAACUCUGAGGCACAGGAAGAGGAAGCUCUGCCAGAAGAGGUUUGCUUUCCUAGUGUUGUUCCUUCAAAAGUGUCAUUUCCUAACAUAUGUGACUGUAUUUUGUCAGGGUUAGUCUUGUGUAUUGAAGUUGUGCAUGCACUUCUACAUUUAUAACCUACAAAAAAACCUGUGAUCAGAUUAGAUUUAAACAAUAACACAUCAUUUAAUAUUUGUUGUUAUGAAUUUAUUUUAGGAGGCUCCUGAACCCGAUUCACAAAACGGGAUGGAGGAAGAUUUGGAAAAAAAAGCAGCUGUGGAUGAAGAAGAUCUACCGUGUGAUGAAGAACAUCAGGCUGUUUUCCCUCAAGCAUCACCUGCAGAAUCCAAUCUUCAGGCCUUUCCAGAAAAUGUCGCACAUGUGCCAUCUACCCCAACAUUUGCAUUUCACUUCAGCCCAACCAGCUCUCUAUGUCAAGGAGCUGCUGAAACCAAAUCUCCAGCCUUCCUGUUCUCUGUGAACUCCAACCCGAGCACACCAGCCUUCUCCGGUUUUGGAUUUGACUCCUCACAGGAUGAGGAUUCCGCUUUUCCUUUUAGUGUCUCUCUGUUCAACGAGAAGAAAAACCCAGAGGAAAAGGAUUCCAGCUGCCAAAAGUUCCUGUUUGAGCAACCAGAGCAGAGCGGGGAUUUUCCGUUUGCUUUCCCUGACAAGAGCCCUCAACCAGGGAGCAAGGACUCCACGGGGAACGACUUCCCAUUUUCAUUCAACUUUUAGAAAAACACGUUUGGGCAAUGAAUCUGUUUUCUGAAACUAGUGUUUUGUUUUGUUGACCGGCUGUUCUUAAGAGUAAAGUGUUCGGUUUAUUUAAAACAGCAGCGUCACAGUUGAAUACCAUUUAUUGAAGAUACAAAUAUUAACUCCAGGCAUUAGAUUUGUUCAUAAAUGUUCUAGAUUUCUCUCUCGUUAAUACAGUAGUCAACAUUUCUUACAUUGUAAACCAUCAUUGAUGAUUUGGCAUUCUGCAGAAGCGUUGUGUUCAGCAUACGAUGAAUAAAAACCAAAAUGUCUCACUGGUCCCUUGAGUCACACAAUCACAUGACAAACACAUACUCAAACAGUGCUCUCAUCAUAAUAGAUCUUAUUUAAAGAUAUUGAAAUAUCAACCAUCCAUCUUUGGAAACAAAAAGGCUUCUGAUCUCAUGUCAGGCUUUGCAUCAGGUUUUUUUUUUUU